GCUGUUCCUUUCCUCGACUCCCAAACCACAGAGCACCCAUUUUGUCAUUCCUUCUUAUCUCGUGUCAUCCAUUUAUCCGUGCCUGUCGCGUCGUCGUUUCUUUAUUUUUUCUUUUCUUUUUUUUUUUUCUUUUUUUUUUCGAGCAAACACGAGCACUUGAGAAUGAGAAUGGCAUUAACAAGGAAACGUAUUUAUUACAAAAAGUUCAACGAUAGAACGAGUUAGUAAAUAACCAGAAAGAGAGAGACAGAGAGAGAGAGAGAGAGAGAGAGAGAGAAAGAGAAAGAGAGAGAGCACCGAGAAAACGAAACGAUUUAUGCUCUUCUUUAGUCUCCUUCUCAAGUACUCGCCUCCGAGUAAAUUCUUUUAACAUUACCACCGAUCCAAGCCUGCGCCCCACAUUAUAUCUCUUCGGCGGAUUCCGCCUGAAAGACAUGGGUAGUGAGAUGUUCUCACGCAAUCGCGUCUCACUACCUUGUCUUUCAUGUGGCGUUCGUUGAACCCCUUCAACCUCUUCAACCUCGUCGACACGAGAAUCGGAGCACGUACCCUACAUUUUCUUUCCCCCUUGAGUAUUUUUCUCUUUUUUCAAAGUUUCGUUGAACGCGAAAUUUUUCAUGCGACCCAUCGCCAAUAUAACAUUCGUUAUUAGUCUCCUACGACGCGAUGGAGUAGUGACGGGAUUUGUUGGAAGAGAGAGAGAGAGAGAGAGAGAGAGAGAGAGAGAGAGAGAGAGAGAGAGAGAGAGAGAGAGAGAGAGAGAGAGAGAGAGAGAGAGAAAGAGAGAGAAUGUGUGAGAAAGAUGGAAGGAGGAGAUAGACCUUAGAGAAGUAAAGCACGGCGAGCACGAUCCUCGAUCGAUAGGGGCAUGCUUUUACCAUCAAAGUUGGUUUGUCAUAGAGAUCAACUAUCACAGCCAGCUUUGAUGAGCAAAAUUGUGUCCGUCCUCAACACUGUUUAAACGAGAGCGAGAGGUUGAGUGAGAGAAAGAAGAACAAGAGUGAGUGAAUGAGUGAUUGAAUGAGUGAAUGAAUCAGUCAGAGAGAGUGAGAGAGAGAGUGUGUGUGUGUGUGCGUGCGUGCGUGCGUGCGUACGUGCGUGCGUGCGCGCGUGUGUGUGUGUGUGUGUGUAUGUGAUGGAGAGAAUGUUGACGCAAAACAAGCGUGUUGUUUCAAAGAAUCAAGAACAAAAGAAGAAAAAAGAAAGAAGAUACGAGAGAAAGGAAGAGGAACGGAUGAUCGAGUACACGAGAUCGAAGAAAUCUAAUGAAGAAGAGGAAGAGCUGCUGGGAGCAACGAAUGGCGGAUAAAAAGAUACGAAUCACGCUCGGCGAUCGUGUAUCAACAUCGGGGAAAAAAUCGAGCGAGCAAGCCAGAUUAUUAUGUUGGAGACAAAAGGAAACACGAUCCAAUCGUCAAAUUGGCUGUGACGUGUAGCCUUUUCUUUUGAUUUCAUAUCACAGCCAUUUUUGAUGUUUGGAUCGAUGUUUUUUCGCAUCGUUGGGCCCGCACGUUCCUCGACCUCCUUCCUCCUACGUGCCCAAGGAAGAGAAAGACUAACUCAGAUAGCAAAAAAGAAAAAAAAAAAGAAAAAGAAUAUAGGGAGAAAACGAAA